GAUGAAGAACGUAGUGAAAUGCAAUACUUGGUGUGAAUUGCAGAAUCCCGUGAACCAUCGAGUCUUUGAACGCAAGUUGCGCCCGAAGCCAUUAGGCCGAGGGCACGCCUGCCUGGGCGUCACACGUCGUUGCCCCCCCAUCUACUCCUUCGGGAUUGCGGGGGGCGGAUGAUGGCCUCCCGUGCGCCUCGUCGCGCGGUUGGCAUAAAUGCCAAGUCCUCGGCGACGCACGCCACGACAAUCGGUGGUUGCGAAACCUCGGUUGCCCGUCGUGUGCGGUCGUCGCGCAUCGAGGGCUCGAAAAAAUUGCCGGGCUCCGGCUCGGCUUUCAACGCGACCCCAGGUCAGGCGGGGUUACCCGCUGAAUUUAAGCAUAUCAAUAAGCGGAGGA
rnacentral:misc_RNA from 1 species